rnacentral:lncRNA from 1 species
CCCACCCUCGCUCUUCCCCUAAGUAGCGCGGGGCAUAUCAACUUACGAACUUUAAAAACAACGGCUGGGGAAAUUUAAUGAUAAAUUGACUGAUCAUAUGGUAUAAAUGCAGCUUUCCAAUAGGGAAAGAAGUGAAACAAAAACUGAAUAGCAUUGAAGGAAUAUUAACACAGACAGAAGAUACCACAGGUAUGUUGUUUAUGUAAUAUUAUAGCUUAAUUAUAGAAUGGAAGUCAUUUCUCAGAUGAUUGAUUUCUUCAUUAAGUUUUUCUACUUCCUUUGUAGGGAAAUCCAAUUCUUUCAUGUUGCCAAUCCUCUCCAGAGAUGUCGUGCUAAAAUUCAAAGCAGCGAACGCGUCUUUGGCGUGCUUGACAUAGUCAUCAAACGUGACUUUAUUAAUUCGAGGGCUGGACGUAUGACAAAGAAUGUUUCGUAAAAGACGAAGCUGAUCAAUGGCAAGUGCAAUCGUCUCAUUUGCAUCUCCGCUGGAGCUCCUCACGGCAGAGUGGAAUGGAGCAGGGACUGGCUUUCGUCCUUUUAAAUACAUUUCUCCGAGUGUCUUUUUCUUCCCUGUGCUGUCUGGUAGCGCAAAUGUUCUUGCAUACAGAGUGGCUUGAAAUAGUGCAGUGCAGUCCCACUCUUUAAAUGACUUGUUCGUGGGGAUCUUUGUGUUUGGAGCCUCAUUGUUGUGGAGUAUAUUGCGUACAAGAGGCGAGUCAUCCCAAACUGUGGAACUUGGUGCAACUCU